rnacentral:rRNA from 1 species
UACAGAGGUCUCGAGCGUUGUUCGGAUUCAUUGGGCGUAAAGGGCGCGUAGGCUGCGGGGUAAGUCGGGUGUGAAAUCUCAGAGCUCAACUCUGAAAUGGCACUUGAUACUGCUCUGCUAGAGGACUGGAGAGGAGAUUGGAAUUCACGGUGUAGCAGUGAAAUGCGUAGAUAUCGUGAGGAAGACCGGUGGCGAAGGCGGAUCUCUGGACAGUUCCUGACGCUGAGGCGCGAAGGCCAGGGGAGCAAACGGG